rnacentral:tRNA from 1 species
GGAGAGAUGGCUCAACUGUUAAGAGCACUGGCUGCUUUUCCCGAGGACCUGGGUUCAAUUCCCAGCAUCUACA